rnacentral:rRNA from 1 species
UUGGAGGGCAAGUCUGGUGCCAGCAGCCGCGGUAAUUCCAGCUCCAAUAGCGUAUAUUAAAGUUGUUGCAGUUAAAAAGCUCGUAGUUGAAUUUCGGGGUUAGUAGGUUGGUCAUGCCUCUGGUAUGUACUGGUCUCACUGAUUCCUCCUUCCUGAUGAACCGUAAUGCCAUUAAUUUGGUGUUGCGGGGAAUUUGGACUGUUACUUUGAAAAAAUUAGAGUGUUUAAAGCAAGCUAACGCUUGAAUACAUUAGCAUGGAAUAAUGAAAUAGGACGUUCGAUUCUAUUUUGUUGGUUUCUAGGAUUGACGUAAUGAUUAAUAGGGAUAGUUGGGGGCAUUAGUAUUCAAUUGUCAGAGGUGAAAUUCUUGGAUUUAUUGAAGACUAACUACUGCGAAAGCAUUUGCCAAGGAUGUUUUCAUUAAUCAAGAACGAAAGUUAGGGGAUCGAAGACGAUCAGAUACCGUCGUAGUCUUAACCAUAAACUAUGCCGACUAGGGAUCGGAUGAUGUUAAUUUUUUAAUGACUCAUUCGGCGCCUUACGGGAAAC